UUAAACAGGUCUGUACCUGGAACGUUCAUAGGCCACUGCUAUAUGCUGCCAUCCAAGCAUAUCAUCAAGUAGCUUUUUGUCUUUCUCAUGACUCUUCAUGAUGUUAUCUUUCAGAGUCGGGUGGGUUGGAGCAGUGGGUCCACGGUUCUCCAUUGGUAUAAGCAUUACAAGCAUGUCCUCUACCUUUACAACUCCAAGUUUACAAACUACUGUCCUCCAGAAAUCAGAGAUACAUGGAAUGUUCUCGUUCUUGUGACCUGUUUUCUUUUAUUCUAUUGAGUAUAUUUUAUUCUCUCCUUUUACACAGGUUUUGUAGUGACUCUUAAUAUUUCACAAAAUAUUAAAACAUUUUUAGAACUUGGUUAUGCUGAUUUCAGCCCCUAUGUUCUGAUCAGCAAAGGUGUCUAUGUUACUAAUAACUUGCUUGUUCACUGA
rnacentral:lncRNA from 1 species